AUACGUAGGUGGCAAGCGUUAUCCGGAAUUAUUGGGCGUAAAGAGGGAGCAGGCGGCAGCAAGGGUCUGUGGUGAAAGCCUGAAGCUUAACUUCAGUAAGCCAUAGAAACCAGGCAGCUAGAGUGCAGGAGAGGAUCGUGGAAUUCCAUGUGUAGCGGUGAAAUGCGUAGAUAUAUGGAGGAACACCAGUGGCGAAGGCGACGAUCGGGCCUGCAACUGACGCUCAGUCCCGAAAGCGUGGGGAGCAAAUAGGAUAAGAUACCCUAGUAGUCCACGCCGUAAACGAUGAGUACUAAGUGUUGGAUGUCAAAGUUCAGUGCUGCAGUUAACGCAAUAAGUACUCCGCCUGAGUAGUACGUUCGCAAGAAUGAAACUCAAAGGAAUUGACGGGG
rnacentral:rRNA from 1 species